rnacentral:rRNA from 1 species
GACGAACGCUGGCGGCGUGCUUAACACAUGCAAGUCGAACGGAAAGGCCCUGCUUUUGUGGGGUGCUCGAGUGGCGAACGGGUGAGUAACACGUGAGUAACCUGCCCUUGACUUUGGGAUAACUUCAGGAAACUGGGGCUAAUACCGGAUAGGAGCUCCUGCUGCAUGGUGGGGGUUGGAAAGUUUCGGCGGUUGGGGAUGGACUCGCGGCUUAUCAGCUUGUUGGUGGGGUAGUGGCUUACCAAGGCUUUGGCUGGUAGCCGGCCUGAGAGGGUGACCGGCCACAUUGGGACUGAGAUACGGCCCAGACUCCUACGGGAGGCAGCAGUGGGGAAUAUUGCACAAUGGGCGGAAGCCUGAUGCAGCAACGCCGCGUGCGGGAUGACGGCCUUCGGGUUGUAAACCGCUUUCGCCUGUGACGAAGCGUGAGUGACGGUAAUGGGUAAAGAAGCACCGGCUAACUACGUG